UGAAAUAACGUUCAGGUAAUCGCUGCAUCAUUUGAUGUAGAGGAAAGUCCAUGCUCGCACGGUGCUGAGAUGCCCGUAGUGUUCGUGCCUAGUGAAAAAAUAAGCUAGGGCAGCUUGGCUUAUAGCUUAGCUGACGGCGGGAAAAACCACCUAAGUCUUUGGAUAUGGUCGAGUAUCCUGAAAGUGCCACAGUGACGAAGCUUUGCUGGAAACAGCAAAGGUGGAACGCGGUAAACCCCACGAGCGAGAAACCCAAACAAUGGUAGGGGAACUGUCUCAAAGGAAUCUAACGGAGAGACGGACGGUUACAUGCGUAAUCGUAGAUAGAUGAUUACCGCCUGAGUACGAGAUUAAAAUCGUUUGCAGUACAAAGGUACAAAACAUGGCUUUACGAACGUUGUUGAAACA
rnacentral:RNase_P_RNA from 13 species